rnacentral:rRNA from 1 species
UCCUACGGGAGGCAGCAGUCGAGAAUCAUUCACAAUGGGGGAAACCCUGAUGGUGCGACGCCGCGUGAGUGAAGAAGUAUUUCGGUAUGUAAAGCUCUAUCAGCAGGGAAGAGAAUGACGGUACCUGAGUAAGAAGCCCCGGCUAACUACGUGCCAGCAGCCGCGGUAAUACGUAGGGGGCAAGCGUUAUCCGGAUUUACUGGGUGUAAAGGGAGCGUAGACGGCGAAGAAAGUCUGAAGUGAAAGCCCGCGGCUCAACCGCGGAACUGCUUUGGAAACUUUUUUGCUGGAGUACCGGAGAGGGA